UCUCAUGGAUGAGCAACAAAAGUGGUUUCUUAAGAUGGAAUCUGCUCCUGGUGAGGAUGCUGUGAA
rnacentral:pre_miRNA from 1 species